rnacentral:sRNA from 1 species
UUGCAAAAGUAGUGUUCAAACGUUCGAGUCAUUCGCACCCAAUCAUGUUGUGGUUAAACAUUGUCGUUGGUAUUCUACUUCUAAGUGCUCCAUUCUCCAUGGGGGAAGAGUGUAAGGCAAAGUGUAAGAUAAAGAAAGCCCUAACCAGAGCAUUAAAGGGUUAAUGGAAUCCCAGGUUAUAGGACGGCAAAAUAAUUCAAUGGAAAUAAUAAUGAAAAACAUGUAGCCCUUUCUGUACACUUAAUAGAAUUUUUCAAAAUCAUUUGAGCAUACAAAAA